UAUUUUUAAAAUGAUAGUAUGUAUAGUUGUGUGAUUUAUUAGUAUAAAUAUGUUUCGCUGUUACUUGUUGUAUUGAUCUUGUUUAACUUGAGUUUCCGUCUUCAGAAGCAGAGGAGCGUGAGUGCUCUCUCUCUCUUUCACCUGUCUGCAAACACGGAAGAGAAGCAGCGCGAGGAAGAGGUGUUUCUCUGCUAUGGAUCAGUGUGAGGACAGAGAGGAGGGAGUCCCUCCCUCUAAAAGCUCUCUGUGUGGGGAACAUGACAGCCAGACCAAAGCUCAG